UACGAAGGGUGCAAGCGUUGUUCGGAUUUAUUGGGCGUAAAGCGCGCGUAGGCUGACCUUUAAGUCAGAUGUGAAAUCUCGGGGCUCAACCUCGAAACUGCGUCUGAAACUGGAGGUCUAGAAUCUUGGAGGGGGAAGGGGAAUUUCUCAUGUAGGGGUAAAAUCCGUAGAUAUGAGAAGGAACACCAGCGGCGAAGGCGCCUUCCUGGACAAGUAUUGACGCUGAGGCGCGAAAGCGUGGGGAUCAAACAGG
rnacentral:rRNA from 1 species